ACACACAGAUAGAGGUUCCGCAUGCGUGCAUGGACAAAUACAAACACCUUCAGAGACAAAUAUGCACAGACACACAACCACACAUGGAAACAGGCACAAACACACAUGAUCAUGUGUGCACCAAAACAGAAUAUAGGCAAAUAUAGACAAGUGAACUACAUAGACAUGAAGACAUGCAUACACAGACAUGUAAAGAAACAUCUUGAAAUGUGUACACUAACAUGUGGACAGACAUGGCACACAGUUACACCUGGUCUCUGACCAGGACCAUAAUCUCCAGGGUUCAGGGCUCAGAGAGUCCAUACUAGGCUGGGUGGCACUGAUACUCCUCAGGGUCCCACUCUAUGAUUAGGGGAAAUAGCCCGAGGAGCAAAAUGUGCAUUUUUGGCUCAACACCAUGGGGCAGAAGAUACCCCACUAACCACCCAUGACAGAAAAUUAGCCUUGGUUGUGUCUCCAUUAAUAGAAUACCUCAGGAGAUCAAUGAGAGAGCGCUUGACCCACUCACUUCCCAGUCCAGAUGCAGAAGACACAAUGCAAUUGUCCAAAAGAAUUGUACACACACACACACACACACACACACACACACACACACACCAACAAAGGAACCUCUAUAAGGAGUCACCACCCAAUAACAUUGCCUCUUUGGAUUCACAUCCUGGACAUUCUUCAUAUUCAUAUCCAUUUGGGACCUGGGCUUUAGAAAUCCCCAAGGGCUCAUCUUUACAGAGGUCAGAGAUCCCAAUAAAUGCCCUGGUCCCACAGCCUCUCUAUCUCUUGGUACCAAGACUCAACACUGCUGGCAGGGGUAGAACAAUCAACACACAGGAACUCUGAUCAAAGAGAGGCAUGAGAUGCCUGGGUCCUUCAGGAAGUAAGGAGGGAUAACCUCUGAUAUGCCUACUCUUAUUCCCAAAGCCCAGGAGAAGGGAAACCUGCUCUGAAUUCUCAGUCUAACAGCCCCGAUGGUGCCACCUGCUCAGAGAAAGUCCAAAGAACACAAAAAUCAUUAUGCCACAUUUCCUGAGUCUGCCUUUACCCAUGUCCGUAUGUUGCAUCUGCCUUGCUUGCUCUGCUGCCCCAGAGUUCCUGGGACAAGGCCCCAAGUUAGUGCCUCCUCCAGUUUGACCUGUGCUUUGUCUCUGUCUAGCUUGAGCUAUUAGGGGGGCCAGUCAAUUCUCCAGAACCAGCAGAACACCCCCAACCCUGAGGCAAAUGUUCAAUCACCCCAAGGCUUGGCUUGACCCUCCCUCUGUGUGUCCCUUCACAGAGGGGGAGGUGAAUGCUGAGGAGGAAGGCUUUGAGAACCUAUGGACCACCGCCUCUACCUUCAUCGUCCUCUUCCUCUUGAGCCUCUUCUACAGCACCACUGUCACCCUGUUCAAGGUAGUGUGUGUGGUGGGGCUGAGGACACAGGGCAGAGACAGGGAGUCACCACUCCUCACUGCCCCUACCUCUACUCUGUAAAAGGGAACAGCAAUUCACACUGUCUCUGUCACCUGCAGGUGAAAUGACUCUCAGCAUGGAAGGACAUCAGAGAGCAAGAGACCCUCCCACAGGGACACUACCUCUGGGCCUGGGGUUCCUGCCUGUAUGACUAGUAAACUUAUUCCCACAUCUUUCCUGUGUUGCCCUCCAGCUUUGAUCUCUGAGACGGGCUUCUUUCUAGACUGGCCAAAGACUUUGUCCACUUGUGCAACCUGGAACAAUGUCUGGAACCACAGACAGCUGUGCUGUAUACAAAUGUCACUUUGAAAUAAAUACUUCACCUUGCG
rnacentral:lncRNA from 1 species